AGAUCAAUGUUAAAAGUAGAUGUCUAGAUUUCACAAGAUGGAUGGUAAACACUUUCCUUGAAAUGUAGUUUUACAUCCAUUUAGCCAACUUAAUGAUGUCAUCACUGACACGAUAGGGCUCAUUACUUGGCAACUAUUCAUCAUAGACAGGGGCAGGUUGUGACAAAUUACCUAACACUGUUAUGACACAUAACAGAUAUGUUAGGGCCUGAAAUGAACUGCAGUUGUAUUUCAUAUCCGUUAUUUCUCAUAUUACAUUUCAUGUGCUGCUUAUCCACACAAUAUUGCAAUAGUUCAUUGAAUGUCUAUUUCAGUAUUACUGCCUAUUAUUCGAUUGUAUGACAUUGUCACUCCAUUUUUACAUUUUAGUCAUUUAGCAGACACUCUUAUCCAGAGCCUUGUACAUUUAGUGCACUCAUCUUAAGAUAGCUGGGUGAGACAACCACAUACUGUAUUCCAGUCAUAGUAAGGUGGGACGACCACAUACUGUAUCUCAGUCACAGUAAGGUGAGAUUAAUACAUAUCUCAGUCACAGUAAGGUAGGACAACCACAUAUUUCAGUCACAGUAAGGUGGGACGACCACAUAUUUCAGUCACAGUAAGGUGGGACAUCCACAUAUUUCAGUCACAGUAAGGUGGGACAUACACAUAUUUCAGUCACAGUAAGGUGGGACAUCCACAUAUUUCAGUCACAGUAAGGUGGCACGACCACAUACUGUAUUUCAGUCACAGUAAGGUGAGACAACCACAUAUUUCAGUCACAGUAAGGUGAGACAACCACAUAAUGUAUCUCAGUCACAUUAAGGUGAGACAACCACAUACUGUAUUUCAGUCACAGUAAGGUCGGACGACCACAUACUGUAUCUCAGUCACAGUAAGGUGAGAUUAAUACCUAUCUCAGUCACAGUAAGGUGGGACAUCCACAUAUUCCAGUCAUAGUAAGGUGGGACGACCACAUACUGUAU
rnacentral:lncRNA from 1 species